rnacentral:rRNA from 1 species
GACGAACGCUGGCGGCGUGCUUAACACAUGCAAGUCGAGCGGAGCGGCGAACGGGUUAGUCACGCGUGAGUAACUGCCCCCCUCUCUCGGAUAACAGUUGUAAACGGCUGCUAAUACCGGAUAGUGGGGGAUGACUCGCGUCCUAUCAGCUUGUGGGUGGGGUAGUGGCCUACAAAGUCGACGACGGGUAGCCGGCCUGAGAGGGCGACCGGCCACAUUGGGCUGAGAUACGGCACAAAAGCCGACGGGAGGCAGCAGUGGGGAAUAUUGCACAAUGGGGGAAACCCUGAUGCAGCAACGCCGAGUGCGGGAUGACGGCCUUCGGGUUGUAAACCGCUUUCAGCCAUGACGCGGUAGUGGCAGAAGAAGCACCGGCUAACGACGUGCCAGCAGCCGCGGUAAUUC